UGCCAGUAGUCAUAUGCUUGUCUUAAAGAUUAAGCCAUGCAUGUCUAAGUAUAAACACUUUGUACUUGUGAAACUGCGAAUGGCUCAUUAAAUCAGUUAUAAUUUAUUUGAUGGUCUUUUACUACUUGGAUAACCGUGGUAAAUCUAGAGCUAAUACAUGCACAAAAUCCUGACUGCUCUCGGGUAGGAGGGAUGUAUUUAUUAGAUUCAAAAGCCAAUGCCAUCUUUCGGGGUGGAAAUUUUUUAUAUGGUGAAUCAUGAUAACUUUACGAAUCGCAUGGUCUUGUACUGGCGAUAGUUCAUUCAAAUAUCUGCCCUAUCAACUUUCGAUGGUAGUAUAGAGGACUACCAUGGUGGUAACGGGUAACGGAGAAUCAGGGUUUGAUUCCGGAGAAGGAGCCUGAGAAACGGCUACUACUUCCAAGGAAGGCAGCAGGCGCGCAAAUUACCCAAUCCCGACACGGGGAGGUAGUGACAAAAAAUAACAAUACCGGUCUUAUUUAAGUCUGGUAAUUGGAAUGAGUACAAUCUAAAACCUUUAACGAGUAUCAAUUGGAGGGCAAGUCUGGUGCCAGCAGCCGCGGUAAUUCCAGCUCCAAUAGCAUAUAUUAAAGUUGUUGCAGUUAAAAAGCUCGUAGUUGGAUUUCUGACACGAUGCACCUCGCCCGCCUCAAUUAUGAGUGUGUGUGUGAGCGCGCGUCUGUCAUCCAUUUGCAAAAUGUAUCUACCCUUCAUUGGGCCGGAUAUGUGAUGUGAAUCUUUUACUUUGAAAAAAUUAGAGUGUUUAAAGCAGGCAUUUGCUAUGAAUACAUUAGCAUGGAAUAAUAAUCUAGGACUUCGGUUCUAUUUUGUUGGUUUCUAGUACUGAAGUAAUGAUUGAUAGGGAUAGUUGGGGGUGCUAGUAUUGGGCGGCCAGAGGUGAAAUUCUUGGAUUCGCUCAAGACUAACUUAUGCGAAAGCAUUCACCAAGGAUGUCUUCUUUAAUCAAGAACGAAAGUUGGGGGAUCGAAGACGAUCAGAUACCGUCGUAGUCUCAACCAUAAACUAUACCGACUAGGGAUGAGUGAACGUUGCAUUUUCGACUUCAUUCGCACCUUAUGAGAAAUCAAAGUCUUUGGGUUCCGGGGGGAGUAUGGUCGCAAGGCUGAAACUUAAA
rnacentral:rRNA from 1 species